rnacentral:rRNA from 1 species
CGGACCGGCGCACGGGUGAGUAACACGUAUGCAACCUGGCCGUCACAGGUGGAUAACCGGAAGAAAUUCCGACUAAUACAGCAUAACACUCCUGAGGGACAUCCUUCGGGAGUCAAAGGAGGCAACUCCGGUGACGGAUGGGCAUGCGGCGCAUUAGGUAGUUGGUAGGGUAACGGCCUACCAAGCCGACGAUGCGUAGGGGUUCUGAGAGGAAGGUCCCCCACAUUGGUACUGAGACACGGACCAGACUCCUACGGAAGGCAGCAG